UACGGAGGGUGCAAGCGUUGUUCGGAAUCACUGGGCGUAAAGGGCGUGUAGGCGGCCCGCUAAGUCUGAUGUGAAAUCCCCUCGCUCAACGAGGGAACUGCGUCGGAAACUGGCGGACUCGAGUACCGGAGAGGAAGGUGGAAUUCCCGGUGUAGCGGUGAAAUGCGUAGAUAUCUGGAGGAACACCGGUGGCGAAGGCGACGUCCUGGACCGGCAUUGACGCUGAGGCGCGAAAGCCAGGGGAGCAAACGGG
rnacentral:rRNA from 1 species